rnacentral:rRNA from 1 species
GGGGGGGGGGGCAAGCGUUGCUCGGAAUUACUGGGCGUAAAGGGCGCGUAGGCGGGUCCCGCAAGUCCUCCGUGAAAUCCCACAGCUCAACUGUGGAACUGCGAGGAAAACUGCAGGACUUGAGUCCGGGAGAGGAGAGUGGAAUUCCCAGUGUAGCGGUGAAAUGCGUAGAUAUUGGGAGGAACACCGGUGGCGAAGGCGGCUCUCUGGACCGGUACUGACGCUGAGGCGCGAAAGCUAGGGGAGCAAACGGGAUUAGAUACCCCGGUAGUCCUAGCCUUAAACGAUGAGCACUUGGUGUGGCGGGUAUCGACCCCUGCCGUGCCGAAGCUAACGCAUUAAGUGCUCCGCCUGGGGAGUACGGUCGCAAGGCUG